rnacentral:rRNA from 1 species
CAAUAGCGUAUAUUAAAGUUGUUGCAGUUAAAAAGCUCGUAGUUGGAUUUGUGGCGUACGGUGGGUUCCGGGCACUUGUUGUCUGAGUAACUUGCUGUUGCCAUCCUUGGGUGGAACCUGUGUGGCAUUAGGUUGUCGUGCAGGGGAUGCCCAUCAUUUACUGUGAAAAAAUUAGAGUGUUCAAGGCAGGCUUAUGCCGUUGAAUAUAUUAGCAUGGAAUAAUGAGAUAGGACUUUUUUGCUAUUUUGUUGGUUUGCGCAAAGAGGUAAUGAUUAAUAGGGACAGUUGGGGGUAUUCGUAUUCCAUUGUCAGAGGUGAAAUUCUUGGAUUUUUGGAAGACGAACUACUGCGAAAGCAUUUACCAAGGAUGUUUUCAUUAA